GACGAACGCUGGCGGCGUGCUUAACACAUGCAAGUCGAACGGAAAGGCCCUGCUUUUGUGGGGUGCUCGAGUGGCGAACGGGUGAGUAACACGUGAGUAACCUGCCCUUGACUUUGGGAUAACUUCAGGAAACUGGGGCUAAUACCGGAUAGGAUCUCCUGCUGCAUGGUGGGGGUUGGAAAGUUUCGGCGGUUGGGGAUGGACUCGCGGCUUAUCAGCUUGUUGGUGGGGUAGGGGCUUACCAAGGCUUUGACGGGUAGCCGGCCUGAGAGGGUGACCGGCCACAUUGGGACUGAGAUACGGCCCAGACUCCUACGGGAGGCAGCGGUGGGGAAUAUUGCACAGUGGGCGGAAGCCAGAUGUGGCAACGCCGCGUGCGGGAUGACGGCCUUCGGGUUGUAAACCGCUUUCGCCUGUGACGAAGCGUGAGUGACGGUAAUGGGUAAAGAAGCACCGGCUAACUACGUG
rnacentral:rRNA from 1 species